AGGAAGGUAGUGUAGUUAACACCUGCAUUAUUUGACGUUACCUACAGAAGAAGCACCGGCUAACUCCGUGCCAGCAGCCGCGGUAAUACGGAGGGUGCGAGCGUUAAUCGGAAUUACUGGGCGUAAAGCGCAUGCAGGCGGCCUGUUAAGUCAGAUGUGAAAGACCCGGGGCGUUAACCUCGGAAUUGCAUUUGUAAACUAGGCAGGCUAGAGUCUUGUAGAGGGGGGUAGGAAGUUUCAGGUGUAGCGGUGAAAUGCGUAGAGAUCUGAAGGAAUACCAGUGGCGAAGGCGGCCCCCUCGGACAAAGACUGACGCUCAGAUGCGAAAGCGUGGGGAGCAAACAGGAUUAGAUACCCCUGGUAG
rnacentral:rRNA from 1 species